rnacentral:tRNA from 1 species
GCGGACGUGGUGGAAUUUGGUAGACACGCAAGCUUGAGGGGCUUGUUCCCGUCUGGGAGGGGAGGUUCAAAUCCUCUCGUCCGCACCA